rnacentral:rRNA from 1 species
UUGCAAACUCCGAAUACCGAUGAGUACAGCUUGGGGAGACAGUGCACCGGGUGCUAACGUCCGGACACAAGAGGGAAACAACCCAGACCGCCAGCUAAGGUCCCUAAAAUUGGCUAAGUGGGAAACGAAGUGGGAAGGCUAAAACAGUCAGGAUGUUGGCUUAGAAGCAGCCAUCAUUUAAAGAAAGCGUAAUAGCUCACUGAUCGAGUCGUCCUGCGCGGAAGAUGUAACGGGGCUAAGCCAGUUACCGAAGCUGCGGAUUCACAGUUUACUGUGAGUGGUAGGAGAGCGUUCUGUAAGCCUGCGAAGGUGUCUUGUAAAGGAUGCUGGAGGUAUCAGAAGUGCGAAUGCUGACAUGAGUAGCGUUAAAGGGGGUGAAAAGCCCCCUCGCCGAAAGCGCAAGGUUUCCUACGCAACGUUCAUCGGCGUAGGGUGAGUCGGCCCCUAAGGCGAGGCAGAGAUGCGUAGCUGAUGGGAAACAGGUUAAUAUUCCUGUACCGAUCUAUAGUGCGAUGUGGGG